rnacentral:lncRNA from 1 species
CCCCCCCCCCCCCCCCCCCCCCAGCAGCAGCAUCCAGCCAGCUGUGCCCGCCAGCGCCGCCACCGAGCUGCAAACCCCGCGAGGAUCUGCGCCGUGCCAGGGUGCUUCCUGCUGACCGAGGGCUGCAGCGGUGCAGGCCAAAGCAGAACAGGUGGCAGGGGUUGGCAGAGUUGUGUUGGAUGGUUGGGAUGCAGAAAGCGGCUCUUGAAACGGUGACAGAUCGCAGCCGGUCUGUGGAAUGUGGGGUGGUGGUGCUGGCUGUGGUGCAGGCUGGGUUUUUCCAUGAGUCUUGGACCGAUGGAAUGAUGGUGUGACCAUAAACCUGUUUAUUUUGGAAGGAGUAGCGAUGGGCAAAUGGGGUGUUUGCUCCAUAAGCUGGCAUAGGGUCCCCUUUGGACAGGAUGGGGCACAGUUGUGUUAGUUCCGACUCAAACUUUUGCUGGAACCCAAAUCUAUUGGCUUGCACAUUGCCUGUGACUCAAGUUGGUGGAGGAACUGGGCUUUGGCUUGUGAAUUCCAUCCCUGCACAAUGUGUGAGUGCUGCUGGCACAUUGACCUUGGGAGAGGAGCUAGAAGCAGCACCAAAGGCAGCAGGAACCCAUCUGCUGUGACCCAGCCUGCCUCAGUUUCCCCAUCUGUACAGUGGGGAUUGUCCUGCAAGUGUGCAAGGGGAGCUCCAUGGAAUGUUAGCACAUUGUGACACGUGGCAUUAGGGCUUGGGGAUGUGCUGGCACCCACAGCACCAGGGAGGGACCAUCUGUGAGGUGAGGAGAAGGCAGCAGGGUUCUGCCCCAUGUCCUCCUCCCUGUGAGCACUCCCCAUGCAGCUGAGCAGGCUGUGGAGAACGAAGAUGCUUCCUUCAUGGAAAGAAAAUGUGACUUCUGUGCCGUCCUUCCCCAUGACUCUCACUGUGGUGCCUCACCUCAACACAAGCUUUUCACCUCACAUCUGCAAAGAGUGAAUAUCAACUGUGUAGUGGCCACCGAGGAGCUCAAAGGAAGGACGUGCAGCCUGAUAUUUGGCACUGCCUUGAAGGUUGGGGCUGGGGAUCUGCAGCCCAAGGACAAUGCUGGUUGAGGACUCUCUGACCUUGAACGUGCUGCUUUGUCCUGCCUGGUGCUCCCACGAGAUUUCUGGCAGAGGAAAACAGUCCAGCCAGAAAAGUUGAUUGAAUGACAUUUCUGUCCUGAUGCUGGCUACGGGGUCACCCUUCUUAUUAAAGUUAGGGUUAUUGAUAGCUCUUCAGGAGUCUGUAUAGAGUUAAUAAGUGGUUGGCAGAUGUUAGAAGCAUAUUGCAGAUAUUAGUGGUAGAUUGGGAUAAAUCCAUCAGUGGAUG